rnacentral:tRNA from 1 species
UUAACUUUGAAUCUUUAU